rnacentral:rRNA from 1 species
AUGCGAUACUUGGUGUGAAUUGCAGAAUCCCGUGAACCAUCGAGUCUUUGAACGCAAGUUGCGCCCGAGGCCUUCGGGCCGAGGGCACGCCUGCCUGGGCGUCACGC